AGAGUUUGAUCAUGGCUCAGGACGAACGCUGGCGGCGUGCCUAACACAUGCAAGUCGAGCGGAGGUAAGCGGAUGGUAACUGAAGCUUACUUUAGCGGCGGACGGGUGAGUAACACGUGGGCAACCUGCCUCGAAGUGGGGGAUAACAUCGAGAAAUCGAUGCUAAUACCGCAUGACAUACAGACAUCGCCUGAUGACUGUAUCAAAGGAGUAAUCCGCUUUGAGAUGGGCCCGCGGCUGAUUAGCUAGUUGGUGAGGUAAUGGCUCACCAAGGCGACGAUCAGUAGCCGACCUGAGAGGGUGACCGGCCACACUGGAACUGAGACACGGUCCAGACUCCUACGGGAGGCAGCAGUGGGGAAUAUUGCGCAAUGGGGGAAACCCUGACGCAGCAACGCCGCGUGGAGGAAGAAGGUCUUCGGAUUGUAAACUCCUGUCUUCUGGGACGAUAAUGACGGUACCAGAGGAGGAAGCCACGGCUAACUACGUGCCAGCAGCCGCGGUAAUACGUAGGUGGCGAGCGUUGUCCGGAAUUAUUGGGCGUAAAGGGCGCGUAGGCGGCUCUUUAAGUCAGAUGUGAAAACCCAGGGCUUAACUCUGGGAGUGCAUUUGAAACUGAAGGGCUCGAGUGCAGGAGAGGUAAGUGGAAUUCCUAGUGUAGCGGUGAAAUGCGUAGAUAUUAGGAGGAACACCAGUGGCGAAGGCGACUUACUGGACUGUAACUGACGCUGAGGCGCGAAAGCGUGGGGAGCAAACAGGAUUAGAUACCCUGGUAGUCCACGCUGUAAACGAUGGAUACUAGGUGUGGGAGGUAUCGACCCCUUCCGUGCCGCAGUUAACGCAAUAAGUAUCCCGCCUGGGGAGUACGGCCGCAAGGUUGAAACUCAAAUGAAUUGACGG
rnacentral:rRNA from 1 species